GCAUGGCUGAAUUCUGUGUUACUCUGUCAGUGGGAAAGACAGUCAGACACCAUGCCACAUCAUCAGCAUCACUCCUCGCAUGCGUCACCGUGGUAUCAAAC